ensembl:lncRNA
CCCCUCCCGAUACCCGCCAUAGCCAACCCACAGCUGCCCCAUCCUCAUACCCCAUCUCUGCCCCACACCAUACCCAUAGCCACCGCCAUAGCUUAGCCCCACAACCCCAUACCCCAUAUCUGCCCACCCAUACCCCUAUAAGCCACCAUAGCUGCCCCACCAGCCCAUACCCCAUAGCCACCCCAUACUGCCCCACCGCCCAGUUACCACCCCCCUCACCCACUUUGUGCCCCACUUGUCGGCCCACAGCGGGUUGACCUGGGCCCAACAACUGCUACAGCUUUGGGGGGCAGCAGCAAAAGGCCGAGGACGCCCCGAUUCCAUCCACACAAUUGGCCUCGCGUCAUGUGAGACUAACGCGCCGGCAGCGCGAGAUGAUCUGUCUGAACUUAUGGGGCAGCCCCACAACUUAUGGGGCAGCCCCACAACAACCUCCCCUGCCCCAUUUCUGCCCCCAUACUGCCCAUUUCUGCCCCAUUUCUGCCCCACACUCAUACCCCAGAGCUGGCCCCCAUCCCAUCCCCACCUCCCCGGCCACGCUAUGGGCAGCCCCCAACCUGCCCAAACAACUUAUGGGCAGCCCCCACAAAAACCUGCCCCGCCCUGGUGAGGCGCCAUUUCUGCCCCACUUUUCUGCCCCCACAGCUGCCCCAUCCCCACCCUCCCCCCGGCCACGCUAUGGGGCAGCCCCCCAACCUGCCCCACAACUUAUGGGGCAGCCCCAAAUCGGCCCUUUCUAUAGGUGCCCUUUUACCCCACGUCUAUUGGUUUUAAGCUGUUUUAAAGGGGGGUGUGGUGACCCCCAUAUUUGUGACCCCCCCCCAACAUCAAUAAAGACACGGUUUCUCGCUGUGGGGCCCGACCCACAUCUCUGCCCCAUAGCGCGGCUAUAGGGAUAUGGGGGGGUCUAUGGGGCUAUGGGGGUUCAUGGGGGGGGCUAUAGGGAUAUAGGGGGGUCUAUGGGAGGCAGUGGGGGUCCAUAGGGGGGUAAUAGGGAUAUGGGGGGCAAUGGGGGUCCAUGGGGGGCGGGCUACAGGGAUAUGGGGGGGUCUAUGAGGCUACAGGGGGCCAAUGGGGAUCCAUAGGGGGGCAAUAGGGAUAUGGGGGGUCCAUAGGGGGUCCAUUGGGGGGGUAAUAGGGAUAUGGGGGGUCUAUGGGGCAGUUGGGGGUCCAAGGGGGAGACCAUAGUGGGCCAAUAGGGAUAUGGGGCGGUCUAUGGGGACCAAUAGGGGCCCACAGGGGGGGCAAUAAGGAUAUAGGGGGUGUCUAUGGGGCUGGGGGGGUCUAUAGGGCGAGUCUAUGGGGUGCAGACACAGAAGAGACCCUUCACGAAGCCCCCAAUUCAACGCCAUCCUCUUAAAUCCGCCUCUGUCCCUUUAAGAGCGGCUCCACCCCCUCCACAAGCCACGCCCACAACCCCACAAGCCACGCCCACAUCCCACCUUAAGCCCCGCCCCCUCCCUUAAGCCCCGCCCCCUUUUCCCGUCAUCCCAGCGCGCGCGCGCGCCGCAUCCGGGGGUCCCGCGCGCGCCGCCGCCGCCGCCCCCCAUUGGCCCGCGAUUUCCCGCCGCCGCCGCCGCCGCUUCAUCUCAUUGGUCGCCUCUUUUUCCCGCCGGCGCCAACCAACGCCGCCAACGGUUUUUUUUACCGCCAUCUUCGGUUCGUCCGGUAACGGGUGAGAAACCCCACACCCCAAACCCCGAUAUCCUGCCAUAACUCCACCCCACAGCCCAUAAUCUGCCCCACACCACCAUAUCCCCACCCCACCA